AAUGAACGUUGGCGGCAUGGAUUAGGCAUGCAAGUCGAGCGAGAAGUGUAGCAGUACACGGAAAGCGGCGGAAGGGAGAGUAAUACGUGGGAAUCUGCCCUUAGACCCGGGAUAGCAGCGGGAAACUGCUGGUAAUACCAGCUAACGGCUAUGGACCAAAGGUGUGAUUCCGUCUAGGGAUGAGCCCACGUCCUAUUAGCUAGUUGGUAGGGUAAGGGCCUACGAAGGCGAUGGUGGGUCGCGGGUGUGAGAGCAUGACCCGCCUCACUGGGACUGAGACACUGCCCAGACACCUACGGGUGGCUGCAGUCGAGAAUCUUCGGCAAUGGGCGCAAGCCGGACCGAGCGAUGCCGCGUGCGGGAUGAAGGCCUUCGGGUUGUAAACCGCUGUCGAGGGGGAGCAACUUCCAUAGAGUUAUCUUUAUGGAUUGAGUGAUCCCUGGAGGAAGGACGGGCUAAGUUCGUGCCAGCAGCCGCCGUAACAC
rnacentral:rRNA from 1 species